rnacentral:rRNA from 1 species
GAUGAACGCUGGCGGCGUGCCUAAUACAUGCAAGUCGAGCGAACGGACGAUAAGCUUGCGUCUCUGAUGUUAGCGGCGGACGUGUGAGUCACACGUGUAUCACCUACCUAUAAUACUGGGAUAACCUCGGGAAACCGGAUCUAAUACCGUAUAAUAUUUUGAACCGCAUUGUUCAAAGGUGAAAGACGGUCUUGCUGUCACUUCUCGAUGGAUCCGGGCUUCAUUAGCUAGUUGUUAAGGUAACGGCUUACCACGGCAACGAGGCCUAGACGAACUCAGAGAGGGAUAGCCGACACGGGAACGGAGACACGGUCAAGACUCCUACGGGAGGCAGCAGUAGGGAAUCGGACGCAGUGGGCGAAAGCAUGGCGGAGCAAGGCCAAGUGAGUGAUGAAGGUCUCCGGAUCGGAAAGCUCUGUUACUAGGGAAGAACAUAUGUGUAAGUAAAUGUGGACAUAGUGACGGUAACUAAUCAGAAAGCACCGGCUAACUACGUG